rnacentral:tRNA from 1 species
AGUAAAAUUAGUUUAUAGUAAAAUACUAGGUUGUGGGCUUAGAGAAGAAGAAUAAUUUAUUUUACUA